CAGGGUGAAGCAGGUGCUGCAUGGACCUACAGCCUCAUUUCAUUCCUCCUCCACAAUUACCGAAAACAGAAGAUGAUGCUUAAGAACCAUGGCCAAACGGUGAAGCAAGUAACUGAUCAUGUUUGGGCAAAAGGGAAGAAAUGACACCUAGAAUCUCCAUCCUUUCCCUGCACCCCUUUGUGUUCAGUUCAACAACUUGGUUCUCCUCCUGACCAGCCACUGUGCUUGGCUGAGGACACAAAGAUGAAGGAGACAGUCUAGUAUAAAACAUGACACAGACCAGACCCGAAGGGGAGGAAGAGGUCCUGUAGAAAAGGUGAAGGAACAUCAUUCACCAAGCCUCUCCAACCUUAGCCAGAGACUGCUGGUGGGCAGCGUGAGCCGUCAGGAAAGACUUGAGAUCCAGGAUUUAGACCUCAAGGUCCCAGUGUGGACUUCUUCAGUGCUCCACUUCCGUAAAGAUUCUGUUCACUUGUUCUCAAAACGUAAGCAGCUUUCCAGUGCCACAUAUUGACUUCCUUGCCCAAAGGGCAUUUCUCAUCAUCAUGUGCUGCAGUGUGUGCUCUCGUCUGUUGCUGCAUGAUAAACCCAAUGCUUUGGCUGUCAUGGACCACCUGACCUCUUUUCUGGGGUCUUUGAAAGCAGGAAGUGUCUCAAGAAGUGCCCAUUGAGGAGUCCCCAGAGUUUCAGGUCGUAUCCCUUCUGGUAUGAUGGGUGAGCCCCUCAGCAUUUAGCUAUUUUAGUAGGUGGGUUUUUUUUUUUUUCAUUUACCCAAUAGAUAUUCAUUCAAUACUUACUCUAAACCCCAUGCAACUGCGUAGGACACAUUUCCUGACCCUCAGGGAGCGCACAGAUCUAUUAAUGAACAGUACAGUAUUGUGAGGGGUAGACAGUGACAGGGAUGAGCUCAGAGUGCUGUGAGUGCCAGAUCCAGUCUCAGACUUGAUGUGGAGCAGAGGCUGGUCAGGGAAGGCUUCUCAGAGUUCAGCCAGAUG